rnacentral:rRNA from 1 species
GUAGGAUAGAGGCCUACCAUGGUAGUAACGGGUAACGGGGAAUUAGGGUUCGAUUCCGGAGAGGGAGCCUGAGAAACGGCUACCACAUCCAAGGAAGUCAGCAGGCGCGCAAAUUACCCAAUCCCGACACGGGGAGGUAGUGACAAUAAAUAACAAUACAGGGCCCUUUCGGGUCUUGUAAUUGGAAUGAGUACAAUUUAAAUCUCUUAACGAGGAACAAUUGGAGGGCAAGUCUGGUGCCAGCAGCCGCGGUAAUUCCAGCUCCAAUAGCGUAUAUUAAAGUUGUUGCAGUUAAAAAGCUCGUAGUUGAAUUUCGGGAUUGACACAUCGGUCGUGCCUUAAGGGGUAUGAACUGGUGUAGUCAAUUUCUCACCUUCUGGAGAACCACGAUGCCCUUAAUUGGGUGUCGCGGGGAACCAGGACCUUUACUUUGAAAAAAUUAGAGUGUUUAAAGCAGGCAUUUUGCUUGAAUACAUUAGCAUGGAAUAAUAAAAUAGGACGGCAUGAUUCUAUUUUGUUGGUUUCUAGGAUCACCGUAAUGAUUAAUAGGGAUAGUUGGGGGCAUUAGUAUUCAAUUGUCAGAGGUGAAAUUCUUGGAUUUAUUGAAGACUAACUACUGCGAAAGCAUUUGCCAAGGAUGUUUUCAUUAAUCAAGAACGAAAGUUAGGGGAUCGAAGACGAUCAGAUACCGUCGUAGUCUUAACCAUAAACUAUGCCGACUAGGAAUCAGACGAUGUUAAUUUUUUAAUGACUCGUUUGGCACCUUACGGGAAA